CUGCCUGCCCACCUAUGGUUUGGUCACACUGGCCUUUUCAAUUACACUGUAAGCUUUCUGAGGGCAGGGCAGCAAACAACGAAAACCACAGGAUCGUCUUUUCAAGUUUGAGACUGCUCUCGGUUAUUAGUUUGAAGAGUAAGGAGAGGCGAAGAAGAUCAGAGCAGUGAUGGCAUCGUAGAAUCGGAGAGAUGGAAUGGAUCUCUCAAAGUCCAGGCCCCUGUCUUUGAGAAAGUUAAAGUUGAAAGCACGCAGGCCAUGCCGUUGUCCAGUCUAGGAAGAGAAAAAGCAAGAAACCAGUGGUCUGAAUCUAUGAUAAUAGAACAACGACUGCAAAACAAGAAAAGUGUAUACGGAGCUGGAUGAAAGAGCCACUGUAAUAAUAAUACAAACCCAAGAACAACAAAA